UUGAUCUUCAGCCGCGACGCGCUGAGGUUCGUGACGGCAUUUUCUGUUUAUCGUUUACGUUUCGGAGCGGCUAAUUUGCAGCGUUGUCGUCUUUCGCGUUGCAUUUUAAAACCGUUUUGUUUUUUGUGUGGCGGUUUUUUUUUAACGUUUUUUUUCUUUUGACAAGUUUUGACAAACUAUUAAACAAUCAAAUGCGAAAAGAAAGAAGCACCACAAAGUAAAGCUCAUAAACAAUCAAUCAUCAGUAAUCAACAUCAAUCACAACGCAAGCAACUGUCCCAAAUUGGACCUGUAACUACUGCUGCUGCUGCUGCUGCUGCUGCUGCUGUUGUUGGUCAAGUGAAAGCUUCGACAAGAGCAACUGUUGCUGCAGAUGCUGUCGUGCGUCUGCCACAUAAUUCAAUCAAGCAGGCUAAGUCAACGACAACGCCAACGCCCCAGACGCGGUUUACUGAGAGCAGCAAUACCAACAACAACAACAAUAACAAUAACAAUAACAAUAACAGCUCCAUCUGCAAGCUGGGCUCAGUCAGUCAGUCAGUGAGUCAGAGACGCAGACGCCGGCACAGACGCUAUUGGCCGUGGCCAGGAACCAGUCACCAAACAGCAACUACUGCCAACUGGCAACCAGUCACGACCGCAGCAACUGUUGCUGCUGCUGCUGUGACUGCGACUGCGACUGCUUCUGGCAGGUUCACAAAUAAGUGAAAGUGAAUUUGUUUAUGGUAUAUUGCUAUUACCAAAGCGAAAGAGACAUAACACCGAACAAAAAACACCACAAAAACACACAAGAAGAAGCGGCAGCCAAAAAUCAUACUUCAAAUAGCAACAACAACAACGUGAGCAAUGCAAUUGCAAUAAAGAGAGAGAG